UAGAAAACACCCACAAUCUUUUUGGGGCCAGGGGAAGCCUGAAGUUCUCUGGUAAAAACUAAGGAUGAAGGUGAAGCAAUAGCACGAGCUGCUGUAGAAGCUACACGCUUCAUCGCCAUCAGAAUUUUUUUCGGAUUUACAGAAAAGGGUUUCGUACUUACUAAAAACAGAGAGAAGAAUAAACUCCAGUUGGCUGAGAUGACUUACUGGAGAGACGUAACGGCUUUUUA
rnacentral:misc_RNA from 1 species